UUUAAAUUAGUUGAAGCCAAAAUCGAGGCUUA
rnacentral:tRNA from 1 species